AGUUACCAGCACGUUAUGUGGGCACUCUAAGGAGGACUGCCGGUGGACAAACCGGAGGAAGUGGGGAUGACGUCAAGUCAUCAUGGCCCUUACGGCCUGGGCUACACACGUGCUACAAUGGUCGGUACAAAGGGUUGCCAAGCCGCGAGGUGGAGCUAAUCCCAUAAAACCGAUCGUAGUCCGGAUCGCAGUCUGCAACUCGACUGCGUGAAGUCGGAAUCGCUAGUAAUCGUGAAUCAGAAUGUCACGGUGAAUACGUUCCCGGGCCUU
rnacentral:rRNA from 1 species